GUGCCUCAAUCUAAUGAGUAAGGAAAUUAUUGGGCCUUGGUAAUUCUUGGCUAUGUCCCAAUAAGGGGCGGAACAGUUUUUUGAGGGUACAGGUCGUCCCUUUGAGUCGCGCACCUACUUUGUGCGUGAUUCAGGUGAAGCGAUUUGCCUC